GACGAACGCUGGCGGCGUGCUUAACACAUGCAAGUCGAACGGAAAGGCCCUGCUUUUGUGGGGUGCUCGAGUGGCGAACGGGUGAGUAACACGUGAGUAACCUGCCCUUGACUUUGGGAUAACUUCAGGAAACUGGGGCUAAUACCGGAUAGGAGCUCCUGCUGCAUGGUGGGGGUUGGAAAGUUUCGGCGGUUGGGGAUGGACUCGCGGCUUAUCAGCUUGUUGGUGGGGUAGUGGCUUACCAAGGCUUUGACGGGUAGCCGGCCUGAGAGGGUGACCGGCCACAUUGGGACUGAGAUACGGCCCAGACUCCUACGGGAGGCAGCAGUGGGGAAUAUUGCACAAUGGGCGGAAGCCUGAUGCAGCAACGCCGCGUGCGGGAUGACGGCCUUCGGGUUGUAAACCGCUUUCGCCUGUGACGAAGCGUGAGUGACGGUAAUGGGUAAAGAAGCACCGGCUAACUACGUGCCAGCAGCCGCGGUGAUACGUAGGGUGCGAGCGUUGUCCGGAUUUAUUGGGCGUAAAGGGCUCGUAGGUGGUUGAUCGCGUCGGAAGUGUAAUCUUGGGGCUUAACCCUGAGCGUGCUUUCGAUACGGGUUGACUUGAGGAAGGUAGGGGAGAAUGGAAUUCCUGGUGGAGCGGUGGAAUGCGCAGAUAUCAGGAGGAACACCAGUGGCGAAGGCGGUUCUCUGGGCCUUUCCUGACGCUGAGGAGCGAAAGCGUGGGGAGCGAACAGGCUUAGAUACCCUGGUAGUCCACGCUGUAAACGGUGGGUACUAGGUGUGGGGUCCAUUCCACGGGUUCCGUGCCGUAGCUAACGCUUUAAGUACCCCGCCUGGGGAGUACGGCCGCAAGGCUAAAACUCAAAGGAAUUGACGGGGCCCCGCACAAGCGGCGGAGCAUGCGGAUUAAUUCGAUGCAACGCGUAGAACCUUACCUGGGUUUGACAUGGAUCGGGAGCGCUCAGAGAUGGGUGUGCCUCUUUUGGGGUCGGUUCACAGGUGGUGCAUGGCUGUCGUCAGCUCGUGUCGUGAGAUGUUGGGUUAAGUCCCGCAACGAGCGCAACCCUUGUUCACUGUUGCCAGCACGUUAUGGUGGGGACUCAGUGGAGACCGCCGGGGUCAACUCGGAGGAAGGUGGGGAUGACGUCAAGUCAUCAUGCCCCUUAUGUCCAGGGCUUCACGCAUGCUACAAUGGCUGGUACAGAGAGUGGCGAGCCUGUGAGGGUGAGCGAAUCUCGGAAAGCCGGUCUCAGUUCGGAUUGGGGUCUGCAACUCGACCUCAUGAAGUCGGAGUCGCUAGUAAUCGCAGAUCAGCAACGCUGCGGUGAAUACGUCCCCGGGGCU
rnacentral:rRNA from 1 species